AGCUAAUAUUUGCAUAGCCACUUUGGGCUUGAUUCAGAGUUUUAUUAAAAUUGUUUUAUUUAAUUCUUGGAAUAAUUCUGUGAAACUUACUGAAGCCACUUAGUGUAACUGAAAAAGUAUAAUCUGCUCUGGAUUGCUUGAAUUCCACCUUUGCCGCUUAACUAGUUGUGUGACCUUGGGCAAGUUAUUUAAUCUCUGAGCCUCAGUUUCCUCAACAGUAAAGUAGGGAUAAUCAUGCCCACCUUAUAGGGCUAUUGGGGGGAUUAAUGAAUAAUACACAAAUAGCUCCUGGUACAUAGUGGGAACUCAGUGAAUGUUGGUUCUCUCCUCCCCUAUUCCGGGCUGGGGCUGGUGCUCUUUUCACUAUGGCCCAGCUGUCUCAUCUUGAUGAUCACUCUAGUUUUGAGGGGCUGAUUAUAUAAAUUGUUCUCCCACAGGCCCAAGUGUGGCAGGAUGAUCCCUCUCAGCUGGAAAUCUGCUCGGUUUGCAAGUAACCCAGGCCCAGCUCCCACCUAUGUGCAGAUCAAUGGACUGGCUCUACCUGGCCUCCUUCCACACCCCUCUGAGGGCCUUUGCCAUUGGUCAGCAAUUCCCUCAGAAGGAGGUGGGCUCACCAUCAGUCUGUGUGUGCAAUGGAAAUCAGGACAAUCAUCCUGCCACAGGGGUCAGGUGCCAAAGCUUGAUGAACGAGAUAGAAUCGCACAAUGGGAUCAAAGGGACAGCCAGCCCAGUUUAUUUCCAGAGGAAAAGCUUACCAGUACACAAAGGAGAAAAAAGAACUCGGCUUGAAACCAAUUCUUUCCUGAAGUGCAAAUAUAAGAGAAAGGACAUCACCAGGAGCAGUUAUCUCUAUGGUUAUAGUAGUUGUGUAUGGCAGGUCUGCUCGUGAAGAAGUAAAUUAUUUGAUGAACCAGGGAAUUAUAAGCAGUUCAUCUGGAUGAAAAGAAAACUCUUACCAAGACUAUAUCUUUAAAAAUUAUCUGGAUAAUUCAGGUGAAAGCAGCCUUUUCUCUCUUCUGAAUUAUUUAGGUAAUUGAUUAUGCCCAUCUGCUCCUCUUCAGAGAACUCGAGGACCAAAUGCUUUUUUGGCAUCUCCUUUUCUAUUCUUCUCUUUUAUAUGACUUACUCCUGUCUAGAUCAGGAGUUUCUGUGAAUAAUCACUCACCAGCUGUUACGGCUUCUAUUUUCACCUGUUGUAUUUGCAAAUCUGAGCAAUCCGAACCUGCUCGGGUAACAUUCCCCAACUGGCUGAGAGUAACUGAUUGUUUAGCUGCAAGAUUGUACUAUCAUUGGCCACUUGAAAAGUUGUGAUUAGUCUGCCUUUUGGGCAUGUGUAAUCUAAUUGGUGGUGCAGAGAGAAUUUUAUUCGGCAGAGAGAGCUUAUUACAGGGCUGCUUGUGUUGACACAUGAAAGUUCAGGAAUGGUUUGUGUAAAUCUUCAGGUGUGGUGAUUCUGGUCAGAAUGGUCAUUUGUUUUCAAGUGAUAACUCCAGUUUUCCCAUAGCUGUUUUUUGCCUACUGGCUUUGGUCCUAUCCCACAUGAUGAUGGAGCACUUCAAACUCAAGAAAGCAAAUGGAAAAUGGACAGGAUCUGACUUUGUGACAGCCUGCCCCUUGACAGGGUUCCCCAUCAGCUGAGAGUUAAGACCACAGUGUAAAUAUGUGAGCCCAUUCGUGGAAUGAAUAAUCACCAGCUAAAAUAUCUACGUGGCACAGGGUUAAAAUGAAAGUGUUCAUUUUAGGGUAAUUUUCUAGCCAAAAUUUUAAGUCAGCUGUGUGAUUUACUUAAGCUGUUUACAUAAAAGGAAAGUCUCUAAAUUUGAAACCCAAACCCUUGGGCUCAAGUCUCCCCUCUGAUGAUUAUUAGGUUCAUGGCCUUGGAUAAACCACAUAAGUUCUUUGCGCCAUGGGUUCUCCAUCUAUAUAAUGGGUAUAAUGGUAUCUGCCAGACCUCCCUGGGUUGUCAUGAGAUUUUAAUGAGAACCUGAAAAACACUUAGUGAGCUGUAAGUAAGCUGUGUAAUUAUAUACCAAAGGGAUAGCUUGUUUAGAAUAAUAAAAGGUAUUAAGCACUUACUCUGUGUCA
rnacentral:lncRNA from 1 species